CUACGGGAGGCAGCAGUGGGGAAUAUUGCACAAUGGGGGAAACCCUGAUGCAGCCAUGCCGCGUGUGCGAAGAAGGCCUUCGGGUUGUAAAGCACUUUUGUUCGGAAAGAAGGGGGGCGUGCUAACACCAUGCCCUCUUGACGAGACCGAAAGAAGAAGCACCGGCUAACUACGUGCCAGCAGCCGCGGUAAUACGUAGGGUGCGAGCGUUAAUCGGAAUCACUGGGCGUAAAGGGUGCGCGGGUGGCUUGCCAAGACCCCUGUAAAAUCCUACGGCCCAACCGUAGUGCUGCGGAGGUGACUGGCAAGCUUGAGUAUGGCAGAGGGGGGUAGAAUUCCAGGUGUAGCGGUGAAAUGCGUAGAGAUCUGGAGGAAUACCGAAGGCGAAGGCAACCCCCUGGGCCAUCACUGACACUGAGGCACGAAAGCGUGGGGAGCAAACAGGAUUAGAUACCCGUGUAGUC
rnacentral:rRNA from 1 species